CGCCAGCGCAUUUCUGGACAUUGCCACCAACUUCUGCAACAUUGUUUCUCAUUCCAGCCCGAGACCCAACUGUUCAAGUAAACUACAUAGACUUUGCAACCGAUGCUAGGAAGAUAACCACAGAGAGCUAUAGGAGAGAGGGGAGAGAGAGAACUUUACUUGAAGGAAAUGGACACAUUCCAACAUUCCAGCUGUAUUGGGUGCGGAUGACUGAACUGCUCACUUCUGUGUCUGCAGACUUCACCCUCCCUACACCUCUGAUGAAUAUAACAGGAAACCUGUUCAAUCACCAUGCACUGCAAAAUCAUUCUGGCUAUGCAUACGGAGAACAUCAACACAUUAACAUCAACAGGCCAGAGGAUAUACCCAUUGGACUUGGGGCUCUGAUGGGAGUUUACCUCGAAUUUACAUGUUUUAUUCUGUUUGCCACUAAAAUCAUA